rnacentral:rRNA from 1 species
GGUGAACGCUGGCGGCGUGCCUAACACAUGCAAGUCGAGCGGUGCAGUUUGAAGCUUCGGUGGAAAGCUGCAUAGCGGCGGACGGGUGAGGAAAACGUAGGAACGUGCCCCUUGGAGUUGGAUAGCCACGGGAAACUGUGGGUAAACCGACAUAGACUCGAGAGAGUAAAGGCCGAAAGGCGCCAAGGGAGCGGCCUGCGGCCCAUCAGGUAGUUGGUAGUGUAAAGGACUACCAAGCCGACGACGGGUAGCCGGUCUGAGAGGAUGGCCGGCCACAAGGGCACUGAGAGACGGGCCCUACUCCUACGGGAGGCAGCAGGUGGGGGUAUUUUGGACAAUGGGCGAAAGCCUGAUCCAGCGACGCCGCGUGGAGGACGAAGCCCUUCGGGGUGUAAACUCCUUUUCUCAGGGAAAAAGGAUGAUGGUACCUGAGGAAUAAGCCCCGGCUAACUACGUG